AGCAGGCUCCAGGCUUCGAGCUGUCGACACAGAGCCCAGUGCAAGGCUCAACUCACAAACCGUGAGAUCACGACGCAAGCUGAAGUCAAACGUUUAACCGACUGAGCCACCCAGGAGCCCCUUUCAUGCCAGUCUCUUGAUAGAUGUUUGAAAGAAGUUGAAUUGACCUAAAUUAUGGUUUGUUGUCAGUAUUUUUUAAACAGUUUAAAGAUUUAAAGUCUUAAACCCAGUUUUGGGGGCCUGUGGGUUGAUGUUUGGGAAAGGAGCAAAGUACAGAGUGUGAGAGGGAGGGACUGAGGGAUGAGGGACUCCCCACCCCCUGCCUGUGAUGAGACCUGGGCCCUGGGGCUUAGAGCCUGCAGCCAAGCCCUGAGCUGGGGCCUGGAGCCGGGGCCUGGAGGAGGUGAGCUGCUGUCACCUAAAAAAAACCACAGUGAGAUGCCGGCUGGUAGCCGGUCAGACUGCUAAAAUCAAGGACAGACUGUGCAAGAGUUGACCGGAAUAUGGAGAAGUUGGAACCCUCACUCGGUGCUGAGGGGACUGAAAACUGAUACAGCCGUUUUGGAAAACGGUGUUGGCAGAUCCUUGAGUUGGACACACAGUCGCACUAGGGCCUCGCAGGUCCUUUCCUAGGUGUUUAUGCAGAAGAAGUGGAAACCGAGCAUCUGCACAGACACCUGAACAUGAGUACUCAGCAGUGUCCUUCACAGCAGCCGAGAAGUGGAAAUGACACAGGUGCCCGUCAGUUGAUGAACGGAUGAAAAGGGUGCUACAUCCGCAUGGUGGAGUGUUACUCGGCAGCCAAAAGACAGGAGAUGCUGGUACACGCUGGUACACGCUGCAAAGAUGGUUGAACCUUGAACACGUGCACGGUGGAACCCGCCAGUCCCAGAGGCCACGUACUGUUUUACUCCGUUCUGUCCAGGAUCAGCACAUCUACAGACGGAAAUCUGUCACCGUCUCCCGGAGUUGGGGGCACAGGAAGUGUAGUGCUGAGGAUACCCAGUCUCUUUCAGGGGAUGAAAAUGUUCUGAAAUUGGUGAUGGCUACACAAUUCUGUGAAUCUAUACAAACUGUUAAAAGGGUGACAUAGAAAUGUUAUUAAAAGUGGAGGAGACCUUGGGAUUUCAGUAGUUGAUCACGGAGAGAAGAACUUCGCACUGCUGUUCUGUUUUGUUGGGUUUUUUUGUUUGUUUGUUUGUUUUUAGCCGCCCUGCCCCCUUUUCCUGGGAAACAAAGCCUGUUUUGUUUCCCCCCUGCUUGUGCGGUCUCUGCCAGGCCCCUGUGGGUGCGCUGCUCUGCUUUGUUGAAAUGCGUGAGAUACUGAGAAGGUAAAGAGCAGGAUGCUUCUGGAGGGAAUCAUUCCAGCUUCCGUAGAUCAGCGGGGUUGAGUUGGUCACUGAAAUACACUCUUCAUAGGGAAAGUUUGUAGCACUGUUUGUAUCCACAGGUAACAGCGUUUGGGCAGACACAAUUAAGUCCUCACCAGUGUCAGCCAGAGAGACCAUAUCUGUUGCUAGUUUUGUGCAAACUUCAGUUCUGCGGAGUUGUUUUUCCUUCAUCUUUUGCUCUCCUGUUUCUCCCUUUACGUGGGUUUUGAAUAGUUAAAUAAGCUUAAAUCUGAAAAAGAGCCUACCAACCAAUUCAGGAGCCUUCAGCAGCCCUCACUGUCCUCGAUGAUCACCGCUGACAGUAUUUAAUUCUGGAAAACUGAAGGGAAGCACAGGAUCCUUCCCUCUUUAUUUUCAAGCAAUUUGUUAUUGUCCAUUUUCACAACAGUACAUAUUUAUAUUAACUUGUUAAAUGUUGUAUUUCUUAAUAAAAAUCCAGUGGGGAAAGCUGAA